UACAGAGGGGGCAAGCGUUGUUCGGAAUUACUGGGCGUAAAGGGCGCGUAGGUGGCCUUCUAAGUUGAACGUGAAAUCCCUGGGCUCAACCCAGGAACUGCGUCCAAGACUGGGAGGCUUGAAUCCGGGAGAGGGAUGCGGAAUUCCAGGUGUAGCGGUGAAAUGCGUAGAUAUCUGGAGGAACACCAAUGGCGAAGGCAGCUCUCUGGUACGUGACUGACACUGAGACGCGAAAGCGUGGGGAGCGAACAGG
rnacentral:rRNA from 1 species